GGGCUCGUGGCUCAGUCAGGCUAGAGCGGAGGACUCUUAAUCCUUAGGUCGCGGGUUCAAUUCCCGUCGAGCCCGCCA
rnacentral:tRNA from 2 species